GGGCGGGGGGCUCAGCAGUUUCUCCUCCUUCGACACCGCGCCAGGUUUUUAUAGACUUGCCUUAAAAAGAGUUCUCUGCUCUUCUCAGGGUUAAUUUAUGGGGCUUUCGAGGAAUACUGGGACUUUUAAGAUGCUCUUCAUUUUCCCCCCAUUAUUUUUGUUGUUGUUACACUCCUAAAGGCACUCCCGCGUUUCAGCACCUCACAGGACAAGGGUGGGGGUGGAAGAAAGAGCAGGGCCGGGAGGCGAAGGGAGGAUUUGUCUCCUAAUCAAACCGCCCACAUGGCUCAGGUUGCCCAACAUCGUUUUUAAAAUUAAAUUUCUAGCCAAGUUAAGGGCAGUAAAACUCAGAUUUAGGAACUGGGAGGAAAUUGAGACACAGGUGGGCCACAUACACCUUUUCCCAGGUCUCCACCAAUUUGAAUUCUCUAUUAGGGGAAUGAAGAGUUUGAGGACUUAAGGGUUUUAAAAGUCUAAAAACCGGGGACAGGCGAGAGAAAGGAUUAGAGCAACAGAUUGAUUGAUUGCCUCGAAAUAGAGUUCUAUUCCAGCCAGCAAACUAGGCCGAGGUCCGCCUCCUGGAGCCAGCUCUCCCAAGUCACUCUUGGACCUGCAGGAGAGGCAAAUCCUCCCAGCAGGUCUCAUUAGUGUUUCCAGCCCCCAUCCCCAAAUCCCCUCUCCCAGUCCCCUCCCUCCCCUCCCCUGCCGCCCCUCCCCCCAUACCAGGCGGAGCUCGGGGAGGCCCGGACCGCUGGGCUCCGCGGCUCCAGAAGCCAAAGUCCGCCCGUGGGGACCGUUUUCCUCUCCACUGCUCUCAAGUGAACAACAAGGACGGAGGUGACCCUCGGCCAAAGGACUUUUAUCUGCCCCCCACUGCCGCGUGAUCCCUCCGUAGGUUAGAGGCAGAGCUUAAAAAAGAAAGAAAGAAAGAAAGUUAAUGUGCAUUGAGCACUGAUCUUAAAUCGGGGACAUUAUCUGCGAUCUCUUUAAGUGGCAGCGGCAGUCCCAUGCAGAACAAAGACUCAGUGUUUGAGCCUCAAAAGCUUAUAGGUAAAGUUUCAGCCAGAUAAAAGUAACCUAAGCGCAAAAACACAGGUUUUCUCGGCUCCAGAAAACUGCUGGCUUCUUUUCGCUCCCUACUCCCCAGGGUGUGUUUGUCCUCGCCCACUGGGGGGAGGAGGGUGACCAGAAUAGCAAAGGACCUCAGAAUUUACCCUUCAUACCCCCUCCCCCAGCGCCUCGGUAAUGAAUUCCUUCGGACUAAGUCGUAUUUGCUACAAUUUGUUACGAAAUCAAAUUUCACAU